UACGUAGGGGGCAAGCGUUGUCCGGAAUCAUUGGGCGUAAAGCGCGUGUAGGCGGUUCGGUAAGUCGUCUGUGAAAGUCCAGGGCUCAACCCUGGGAUGCCGGUCGAUACUGCCGACUAGAGUUCGGAAGAGGCGAGUGGAAUUCCCGGUGUAGCGGUGAAAUGCGCAGAUAUCGGGAGGAACACCAAUGGCGAAGGCAGCUCGCUGGGACGUUACUGACGCUGAGACGCGAAAGCGUGGGGAGCAAACAGG
rnacentral:rRNA from 1 species